rnacentral:tRNA from 1 species
GGACAGGUAGCUCAGAUGGUAGAGCAAUGGACUGAAAAUCCAUGUGUCGGCGGUUCGAUUCCGCCCCUGUCCACGA